GAUUUCAGGAUUAGAUCUUGAAACUUUUUUCAGAUCAUGCAGCGGAAGACAAAAAUAAAUCAAAAUUUAUCUUAUAAAAUCAGAAAAUUUUUUACAUCUAAAAUCCUAUUACAUGAUUAUUACAUGGCAUUAAAUCAGAAAUUAAAAUAUAAAGAGCAAGAACUACAUGUUGAUCAUAUCAACAUGUUUCUAUACUAUAUCUAAUG
rnacentral:lncRNA from 1 species